AAUCAACGCUGGCGGCGUGCCUCAGACAUGCAAGUCGAACGAUUAAAGCUCUCUUCGGAGAGUGCAUAGAGUGGCGCACGGGUGAGUAACACGUAAGUAAUCUACCUUCGAGUGGGGAAUAACGUCCGGAAACGGACGCUAAUACCGCAUAAUGCAGCGGCAUCGCAAGAUGACAGUUGUUAAAGAUUUAUCGCUUGAAGAGGAGCUUGCGGCAGAUUAGCUAGUUGGUAAGGUAAUGGCUUACCAAGGCUACGAUCUGUAACCGGUCUUAGAGGACGGUCGGUCACACUGACACUGAAUAACGGGUCAGACUCCUACGGGAGGCAGCAGUCGGGUAUUUUGGGCAAUGGGCGAAAGCCUGACCCAGCAACGCCGCGUGAAGGAUGAAGUAUUUCGGUAUGUACACUUCGAAGGAAUGGGAAGAAUCAAUGACGGUACCAUUUAUAAGGUCCGGCUAACUACGUGCCAGCCGCCGCCGUAACAC
rnacentral:rRNA from 1 species